GACGAACGCUGGCGGCGUGCUUAACACAUGCAAGUCGAGCGAGGCUCUGCUCUUCGGAGCGGAUGCCCUAGCGGCGAACGGGUGAGUAACACGUGGGCAACCUGCCCCUAGCACUGGGAUAACCCCGGGAAACCGGAGCUAAUACCGGAUACGACCACCGGCGGCAUCAUCUGGUGGUGGAAAGAUUUAUCGGCUAGGGAUGGGCCCGCGGCCUAUCAGCUUGUUGGUGGGGUAACGCCUACCAAGGCGACGACGGGUAGCCGGCCUGAGAGGGCGACCGGCCACACUGGGACUGAGACACGGCCCAGACUUCUACGGAAGGCAGCAGUGGGGAAUAUUGCGCAAUGGGCGAAAGCCUGACGCAGCGACGCCGCGUGAGGGAUGACGGCCU
rnacentral:rRNA from 1 species